AGUGAACGCUGGCGGUAGGCCUAACACAUGCAAGUCGAACGGCAGCACAGUAAGAGCUUGCUCUUACGGGUGGCGAGUGGCGGACGGGUGAGGAAUACAUCGGAAUCUACUUUUUCGUGGGGGAUAACGUAGGGAAACUUACGCUGAUACCGCAUACGACCUACGGGUGAAAGCAGGGGAUCUUCGGACCUUGCGCGAUUGAAUGAGCCGAUGUCGGAUUAGCUAGUUGGCGGGGUAAAGGCCCACCAAGGCGACGAUCCGUAGCUGGUCUGAGAGGAUGAUCAGCCACAAUGGAACUGGGACAAGGUCCAGACUCCUACGGGAGGCAGGAGUGGGGAAUAUUGGACAAUGGGCGCAAGCCUGAUCCAGGCAUACCGCGUGGGUGAAGAAGGCCUUCGGGUUUUAAAGCCCUUUUGUUGGGAAAGAAAAGCAGCAGGUUAAUACCCCGCUGUUCUGACGGUACCCAAAGAAUAAGCACCGGCUAACUUCGUG
rnacentral:rRNA from 1 species